GACGAACGCUGGCGGCGUGCUUAACACAUGCAAGUCGAACGGAAAGGCCCUGCUUUUGUGGGGUGCUCGAGGGGCGAACGGGUGAGUAACACGUGAGUAACCUGCCCUUGACUGUGGGAUAACUUCAGGAAACUGGGGCUAAUACCGGAUAGGAGCUCCUGCUGCAUGGGGGGGGUUGGAAAGCUUCGGCGGUUGGGGAUGGACUCGCGGCUUAUCAGCUUGUUGGUGGGGUAGUGGCUUACCAAGGCUUUGACGGGUAGCCGGCCUGAGAGGGUGACCGGCCACAUUGGGACUGAGAUACGGCCCAGACUCCUACGGGAGGCAGCAGUGGGGAAUAUUGCACAAUGGGCGGAAGCCUGAUGCAGCAACGCCGCGUGCGGGAUGACGGCCUUCGGGUUGUAAACCGCUUUCGCCUGUGACGAAGCGUGAGUGACGGUAAUGGGUAAAGAAGCACCGGCUAACUACGUG
rnacentral:rRNA from 1 species